GUUUGAUCCUGGCUCAGAACGAACGCUGGCGGCGUGCCUAACACAUGCAAGUCCAACGUGAAAGGGGAGCAAUCCCCCGGUAGGGUGGCAAACGGGUGAGUAAUACAUGGGUGAUCUACCUUAGGGAUGGGGAUAUCCUUCCGAAAGGAGGGGCAAUACCGAAUAUUGUCCGGAGCCGUGAAGGGUUCCGGGGAAAGGGAGGCCUCUGAUACAAGCUUUCGCCUUAAGAUGAGCCCAUGGCCCAUCAGCUAGUUGGUAGGGUAAAGGCCUACCAAGGCUACGACGGGUCGCUGGUCUGAGAGGACGACCAGCCACACUGGCACUGAGAUACGGGCCAGACUCCUACGGGAGGCAGCAGUGAGGAAUAUUGCGCAAUGGGGGAAACCCUGACGCAGCAACGCCGCGUGUGGGAAGAAGGCCUUCGGGUCGUAAACCACUUUUGCACGGGACGAAAAAGGGAUAUCGAACAAAUAUCCCCGAUGACGGUACCGUGAGAAUAAGCCACGGCUAACUCUGUGCCAGCAGCCGCGGUAAGACAGAGGUGGCAAGCGUUGUUCGGAAUUACUGGGCGUAAAGAGUCUGUAGGUGGUUUGUCAAGUCUUUGGUGAAAGGCCGUAGCUUAACUAUGGGAAUGCCAAAGAGACUGGCAGGCUGGAGGCUGGGAGAGGGAAGCGGAAUUUCUGGUGUAGCGGUGAAAUGCGUAGAUAUCAGAAGGAAGGCCGGUGGCGAAGGCGGCUUCCUGGAACAGUCCUGACA
rnacentral:rRNA from 1 species